CCCUUAGAUGUUCUGGGCCGCACGCGCGCUACAAUGGCAGACUCAGCGAGUUACCUCUGUCGAAAGGCACAGGGAAUCUUUACAGUAUCUGCCGUGAUGGGGAUAGACCCUUGUAAUUUUUGGUCUUCAACGAGGAAUUCCUGGUAAACGCAAGUCAUUAACUUGCAUUGAUUACGUCCCUGCCCUUUGUACACACCGCCCGUCGCACCUACCGAUUGAAUGGUCCGGUGAAGUCCUCGGACCCAGUUGAAUCUCGAGUUGAACAGGGAAAGUUGACUAAAUCUUACCAUUUAGAGGAAGGUGAAGUCGUAACA
rnacentral:rRNA from 1 species